GUAUUUGUCAAAAUAGCCAUCAAAUGUCAUAAUAGUUGAAGAUUUUGCAAUUCUUCACACCCGUUGUCAGCUUAGUUAUAGAUACAGCUUCUGUACGCUUUUUAUACCAGCCCAAGCCCCCAGCGGUCACCAAACACUUCGAAGAGCUCCCUGGUUACCUCCUGAGUGCAAUGAGCCGGUGCUCCAUCCAGUUGCAACCAACAUGUGCCGUACUCUUCUAGUUACAGAUUUUCUAAAAAAUUGCUUACCACUGUCCUUAGAAUUUGGAGGUACAUGGAUGAAUUUAACGAUUCUUCAUAAAGGACAUGUCCAGAUGUUCCAGUUCUGGUAGGUUUUGAAAAGCUUCGUAGGAUAUCGUUGCUAGCUUGUUCCCUGCAAUCAGAUUUAAAAAAUAUCUAGUAGAGAUUAUUAAAUAUGUUAAGUGAUA